GAACGCUGGCGGCAGGCCUAAUACAUGCAAGUCGAACGGCAGCACAGCAGAGCUUGCUCUGUGGGUGGCGAGUGGCGGACGGGUGAGGAAUACGUGGGAAUCUGCCCAGUCGUGGGGAUAACGUAGGGAAACUUACGCUAAUACCGCAUACGCCCUUCGGGGGAAAGCCGGGGACCUUCGGGCCUGGCGCGAUUGGAUGAGCCCACGUCGGAUUAGCUAGUUGGCGGGGUAAAGGCCCACCAAGGCGACGAUCCGUAGCUGGUCUGAGAGGAUGAUCAGCCACACUGGAACUGAGACACGGUCCAGACUCCUACGGGAGGCAGCAGUAGGGAAUAUUGGACAAUGGGCGCAAGCCUGAUCCAGCCAUGCCGCGUGAGUGAAGAAGGCCCUCGGGUUGUAAAGCUCUUUUUGUCCGGAAAGAAAAGCGCCGGGUUAAUACCCUGGUGUCCUGACGGUACCGGAAGAAUGAGCACCGGCUAACUUCGUG
rnacentral:rRNA from 1 species